rnacentral:rRNA from 1 species
UACGUAGGUGGCAAGCGUUGUCCGGAAUUAUUGGGCGUAAAGCGCGCGCAGGCGGUCCUUUAAGUCUGAUGUGAAAGCCCACGGCUCAACCGUGGAGGGUCAUUGGAAACUGGGGGACUUGAGUACAGAAGAGAAGAGUGGAAUUCCACGUGUAGCGGUGAAAUGCGUAGAGAUGUGGAGGAACACCAGUGGCGAAGCGACUCUUUGGUCUGUAACUGACGCUGAGGCGCGAAAAGCGUGGGGAGCAAACAGG